GUCCCUUAACGUGAUCCUGGUUCCCGAUUGCACUUAACGCGAUCCUUGGUUCCCGGCCCAAAGCCGAUUGCCGGUGGCUUGGAGCUGCCGAGGAUCGGGAGUGCGCGAGGUCGUACCCACGGCUGCAAGGAAGGUUUCCCUAGACCGAGGCGCGGAAACGGGGUGCCUCGGCCUCCCGCCCGCUGCCCGCCCGUUCUUCGCGGUAGCGAACGCCGAGCGCCCGGAGCGAUGGGUGCCAACGAGGAUCAGGAGAUGGAACUAGAAGCUUUACGAUCUAUUUAUGAAGGAGAUGAAAGCUUCCGUGAAUUAAGUCCAGUUUCAUUUCAAUAUAGGGUGAAGACGGCGAUCCCAAAGCCUUUCUAAUAGAGAUCUCCUGGACAGAGACAUACCCCCAGACGCCU
rnacentral:lncRNA from 1 species